AUUGAACGCUGGCGGCAGGCCUAACACAUGCAAGUCGAGCGGAUGAGAGGAGCUUGCUCUUCGAUUCGGCGGCGGACGGGUGAGUAAUGCCUAGGAAUCUGCCUAGUAGUGGGGGACAACGUUUCGAAAGGAACGCUAAUACCGCAUACGUCCUACGGGAGAAAGUGGGGGAUCUUCGGACCUCACGCUAUUAGAUGAGCCUAGGUCGGAUUAGCUAGUUGGUAGGGUAACGGCCUACCAAGGCGACGAUCCGGAACUGGUCUGAGAGGAUGAUCAGUCACACUGGAACUGAGACACGGUCCGGACUCCUACGGGGGGCAGCAGUGGGGAAUAUUGGACAAUGGGCGAAAGCCUGAUCCAGCCAUGCCGCGUGUGUGAAGAAGGCCCUCGGGUCGUAAAGCACUUUAAGUUGGGAGGAAGGGCUUACAGCGAAUACCUGUGAGUUUUGACGUUACCGACAGAAUAAGCACCGGCUAACUUCGUGCCAGCCGCCGCAGUAA
rnacentral:rRNA from 1 species